GUGAAUCAUCAAAUUUUUGAACGCAAAUUGCACUUUCUGGUAUUCCGGAAAGUAUGCCUGUUUGAGGGUCAGUUAAAUAAAAAUCGGUGUUGUGGCUGCCUUUCGUGGUGACGCGUCGGAAUUGGGUCGUGUUACCUUCGGUUAUGUGACUUAUAAGUUUUGCAUGAUUUUCGAACGAAUUGAAACCGCUGA
rnacentral:misc_RNA from 1 species